AAUGUCAACCUGACCUUAGCUAAACUCACUUGUUAGUGAUUGACAAUACAUUUUCUGAAAAGUAUAUUACCUCUUUGUAAUGAAAUAUAUUUAGUCCUCCACAGUUUUUCAAUAAGGCAUAAUUUAUAAUUUCAAAAAAUAAUAGAGUUUGACAAGAUUAUGAUAUGAAACCUCCUCAAACAGCAAUAAUAGUAAUCAAAAGUGUGUGUUUCUUUUUCAGCCUCAAUGAGAAUUACUACUUCUUGCAUUAUCAUUUGUAUCCGCAAGUUUCUGUUGGAACAAACGUCCGGUGCCUUCCAGAAUCACGGAGAAUGGGCCGGCUGAUGUUUCGGUUGAUUCUGGUCCAGGCUUAACGAGUGACUGGCACUGUGCUCUAUGCCUCCAUCAAAUGUUAUCUGAAAUCACUGCCAAUGGAAAUGAAAAGGUUCUGCCAAUACAUCAUGUGUUUCGCUGUGCUGCCUCCUCUUUCUCAUGUGACCAACACAUCUGAACCUGACUUCUGUCCCAGCCAGGGCUCUCCUAGAGAGUGGCUAUCUUGGAUUAUGGCCAUUCUCAAAAGAGAGACCUCAAGACCAAAUUAGAAGAAAACCCAACAUCAUGGGUCCCAUGGUGGUAUGCCCGACAUCAACUCUUCUUGACCGCUAAGUGUGUUGCUAUUGCUGGCAACUGAAACUAGCCAGUGGCUUCUUCUGGAGUCAGUUCAGCAGCUUUCCUUCUACUAUGGACUACACUAGUGUUAUCCAAACUGUCAGUUCAACUGGGGUAAGAAGCUUGCACCAGAAUGUGAAUCAACACGCUGCUUCCUUCAUCAAGAAAGUUUUGUUGCAAAUUUCAGCUGAGUCAAAAUGUGUAUUUAGUGAUGUAAUAAUAGAUUUACAUUCCCUUGCAAGUUCUUUGUCUCAUUAACAGUAACCACCACUGUGAGGACUGACAGCUGAUCCACAGAUCUCAUAUAAAGUAGCACUGGUUGUUAGCCAACUUCCAGCUAUCCUUUCUCCCACCUCCACCCUUCCUGGCCUCUCAUAAUCACUACCCUGAACUCUGCUUCUCUGAGAUCAACUUUUUUAGCUUCCACAUUUAGGUGACAUUCUGAGUAUUUGCCUUUGUGCAACUGGCCUAUUUCACUUAACAUAGUGUCUUCCAAACUUACCCAUGUUGCUACAAAUGACAGCCUUCUUUUUUGAAUUUAAUUUUUAAAAUUUUACUUUAAGUUCUAGAGUACAUGUCCAGAUCUUGCAGGACUGUUACAUAGGUACACAUGCCAUGGUGGUUUGCUGCCUCCAACCGCCCAUCGCCUACAUUCAGUAUUUCUCCUAAUGUUAUCCCUCCCCAAUCUCCCCACCCACUGCUAUCCCUCCCCUAGCCCCCAACAGACCCCAGUGUGUGAUGUUCCCCUCCCUGUGUCCAUGUGUUCUCACUGUUCAACACCUGCCUAUGAGUGAGAACAUUCAGUGUUUGAUUUUCUGUUCUUGUGUCAAUUUGCUGAGAAUGAUGGCUUCCAGAUUCAUCCAUGUCCCUACAAAGGAAACAAACUCAUCGUUUUUUAUGGCUGCAUAGUAUUCCAUGGUGUAUAUGUGCCACAUUUUCUUUAUUCAGUCUAUCUUUGAUGGGCGUUUGGGUUGGUUCCAAGUCUUUUCUGUUGUAAACAGUGCCGCAAUGAAUAUACGUGUGCAUGUGUCUUUAUAAUAGAUCAAUUUAUAAUCCUUUGGAUAUAUACCCAGUAAUGGGAUUGCUGGGUCAAAUGGAAUUUCUAGGUCUAGAUCCUUGAGGAAUAGCCACACUGUCUUCCACAAUGGUUGAACUCAUUUACAUUCCCACCAACAGUAUAAAAGCAUUUCUGUUUCUCCACAUCCUCUCUAGGAUCUGUUGUCUCCAGAUUUUUUAACGAUCAUCAUCCUAACUGGUGUGAGAUGGUGUCUCAAUGUGGUUUUGAUUUGUAUUUCUCUAAUGACUAGUGAUGAUGAGCAUUUUUUCUUUUUUUGAGACGGAGUUUCGUUCUUGUUACCCAGGCUGGAGUGCAAUGGCGUGAUCUUGGCUCACUGCAAACUCCACCUCCUGGGUUCAGGCAAUUCUCCUGCCUCAGCCUCCCGAGUAGCUGGGAUUACAAGCACACACCACCAUGCCCAGUUAAUUUUUGUAUUUUGAGUAGAGACGGGGUUUCACCUUGUUAACCAGGAUGGUCUCAAUCUCUUGGCCUCAUGAUCCACCCGCCUCGGCCUCCCAAAGAGCAUUUUUUCAUAUGUUUCUUGGCCACAUAAAUGUCUUCUUUUGAAAAGUGUCUGUUCAUAUCUUUCACCCACUUUUUGAUGGGUUUUUGUUUUUUGUUUUUUGGUUUUUUUUUGUAUAUGUCUUUUAGUUCUUUGUGAUUCUGGAUAUUAGCCCUUUAUCAGAUGGGUGGUAGCUUACAAAAAUUUUCCCCAUUCUGUUGCUUGCCAGUUCACUUUAAUGAUUGUUUCUUUUGCUGUGCAGAGCUCUUAUGUUUAAUUAGAUCCCAUUUGUCUAUUUUGGCUUUUGUUGCCAUUGCUUUUUGUGUUUUCAUCAUGAAGCCCUUGCCUAUGCCCAUGUUUUGCAUGGUAUUGCCUAGGUUUUCUCCUAGGGUUUUUAUGGUAUUAGGUUUUGUGUUUAAAUCUUUAAUCCAUCUUGAGUUAACUUUUGUAUAACAUGUAAGGAAGGAGUCCAGUUUCUGCUUUCUGCACAUGGCUAGCCAGUUUUCCCAACACCAUUUAUUAAGCAGGGAAUCCUUUCCCCAUUGUUUUUUUUUGUUGUUAUAUUUGUCAAAGAUCAGAUGGUUAUAGUUGUGGCAUUACUUCCGAGGUCUCUGUUCUGUUCCAUUGGUUUGUAUCUCUGUUUUGGUACCAGUAUCAUGCCGUUUUGAUUACAGUAAUCUUGUAGCACAGUUUGAAGUCAGGUGGCGUGAUGCCUCCAGCUUUGUUCUUUUUGCUUAGGAUUGUCUUGGUUCUGUGGGCUUUUUUUUUUUGGUUCCAUAUGAAGUUUAAGGUGUUUUUUUCCAGUUCUGGGAAGAAAGUCAAUGGUAGUUUGAUGGGGAUAGCAUUGAAUCUAUAAAUUACUUUGGGCAGUAUGGCCAUUUUCACGAUAUUGAUUCUUUCUAACCAUGAGCAUGGAAUGUUUUUCCACCUGUUUGUGUCCUCACUUAUUUCUAUGAGGAGUGGUUUGUAGUUCUCCUUGAAGAGGUCCUUCAUGUCCUUUGUUAGUUGUAUUCCUAGGUACUUUAUUCUUUUUGUAGCAAUUGUGAAUGGGAGUUUGCUCAUGAUUCGGCUCUCUGUUAGUCUGUUAUUGGUGUAUAGGAAUGCUUGUGAUUUUUGCACAUUGAUUUUGUAUCCUGAGACUUUGCUGAAGUUACUUAUCAUCUUAAGGAGAUUUUGGGCUAAGAUGAUGGGGUGUUCUAAAUAUACAAUCAUGUCGUCUGCAAAUAGAGACAAUUUGAUUUCCUCUUUUCCUAACUGAAUACCCUUUAUUUCUUUUUCUUGUUUGAUUGCUCUGGCUAGAACCUAACAGCCUUCUUUUUAAUGGCUGAAUAGUAUUCCAUGGUGUAUGUAUUCCAUGGUGUGUGCAUAUAUGUGUGUGUGUAUAUGUGCCACAUUUUCUUUAUCCAUUCAUCUGUUGUUGGACACUUAGGUUGUGAAUAGUGCUGCAAAUAAACUCAGAAGUGCAGCUAUCUCCCUAAUAUAUCGAAUUCCUUUCUUUUAGGUAUAUACCCAAGCGUGAGAUUGUUGGAACACAUCUAUUUUUAGUUCUUUGAGGAACCUUCAUACUGUUUUCCAUAAUGGCUGUACUAGUUUACACUCCAGCUAACAGUACCUAAGAGUUCCCCUUACUCUACAUCCUCUCUUGUACUUGCUAUGUUUUGUCCUUUUGUAACAGCCAUUCUAACUGAGGUGAGUUGACGUUGCAAUGUGGUUUUGAUUUGCAUCGGCCUGAUGAUUAAUAAUGUUGAGCAUUUUUUUCACAUACAUGCUACCCAUUUCUGUGUCUUCUUUUGAGAGAUGCUUUUCAGAUUCUUUGCCCACAUUUUUUUUUUUUGGAUUAUUAUUUGUUUUAUUUGAGUUCCAUGUAUAUUCUGGACAUGAAUUCCUUGUCAGAUGAACAGUUUGCAAAUAUUUUAUCACAUUCUGCUGGUUGUGUCUUCACUCUGUUGAUUGUUUCCUUUGCUGUGCAGAGCUUUUUAGUUUUUUAUAACCCCAUUUGUCUAUUUUUGCUUAAGUUGUCUGUGUUUUUGUUUGUUUAUUUUUUGUUUGUUUGUUUUUUUUGAGACAGAAUCUCACUCCCUCACCAAGUGCCAGGCUGGAGUGCAGUGGCGUGACCUCAGCUCACUGCAACCUACACCUCCUGGGUUCAAGCAAUUCUCCUGCCUCAGCCUCCUGAGUAGCUGAGACUACAGGCGUGUGCCACGACGCCCAGCUAAUUUUUUUGUAUUUUUAGUAGAGACAGGGUUUCACCAUUUUGGACAGGGUGGUCACAAUCUCUUGAUUUCAUGAUCCACCUGCCUUGGCCUCCCAAAGUGCUGGGAUUACAGGCGUGAGCCACUACGCGUGGCCCAAGUUGUCUGUGUUUUUGAGGUCUUCUCCAUAACAUCGUUGCCCAGACCAAUGUCUUGAAGCAUUUCUCCAGUGUUUUCUUCUGAUAGUUUUCAUAGUUUUGAGUCUUACAUUUAAGUUUUUAAUCCAUUUUGAAUUGAUUUUUGUGCAUGGUGAGAGAGCAAUCUACUUUCAUUCUUCUGCAUAUGAAUAUCCAGUUUUUUCCGGCACCAUUUAUUGCAAAGACUUUUCUUUCCCCAAUGAAUGUUCUUGGCGUCUUUGUUUAAAAUCAGUUGGCUAUAAAUACGUGGAUUAUUUCUGGGUUCUCUAUUCUGUUUCAGAGUUCUAGUGUUCUAUAGCACUGUAGGGUGACUAUAAUUAACAACAAUUUAUUGUAUAUUUUCAGAUAGCUAGAAGAACAGCUUGUGCAUGUUCACAACACAGAGAAAUGAGAAAUGUUUGAGAUAUGAAUAUGCAAAUUACUCUUUUUGAUCAUUACACAUUGUAUACAUGUAUCAAAAUACCAUACUGUACCCCAUAAAAAUGCAUGAUUAUUAUGUAUCAAUUAAAAAUAAUAAUAAAAGCAAAAAAAGGAUUGCCCAAAAGUCUUCCUAGGCUAAGAGAACUUUAAGGAUGUGAUUGGUCUCUGCUCUCUUCCACCUUUUCUUCACAGAAUGCAGAAACAGAGCAGGAGAGAGGAACAUAUUUGCAUGAGAAUGAUGGUUCUAGUCUACAU